AGAGUUUGAUCCUGGCUCAGAACGAACGUUGGCGGCGUGGAUUAGGCAUGCAAGUCGAACGAGAACUCCUGGGUAACUGGGAGGGAAAGUGGCGAAAGGGGCAGUAAUGCGUGGGUAACCUACCCCGGGGACCGGGAUAGCCAUCCUAACGGGUGGGUAAUACCGGGCGAUGCAGCGAGAUCGCCUGACCUUGCUGUGAAAUGAAUUUCGCCUCGGGAGGGGCUCACGUGGUAUUAGCUUGUUGGUGAGGUAACGGCUCACCAAGGCUCAGAUGCCUAGCAGGUGUGAGAGCACGACCUGCGCCACUGGCACUGAGACACUGGCCAGACUCCUACGGGAGGCUGCAGUCGAGGAUCUUCGGCAAUGGGCGCAAGCCUGACCGAGCGACGCCGCGUGCGCGAUGAAGGCCUUCGGGUUGUAAAGCGCUGUCGAGGGGGAGGAAGCCGAAAGGUUGACCUAUCCCUGGAGGAAGCACGGGCUAAGUUCGUGCCAGCAGCCGCGGUAAGACGAACCGUGCAAACGUUGUUCGGAAUCACUGGGCUUAAAGGGCGCGUAGGCGGGUGGCCAAGUCAGGGGUGAAAUCUUUCGGCUCAACCGGAAAAUUGCCUUUGAUACUGGUCGUCUCGAGGGAGGUAGGGGCAUGUGGAACUUCCGGUGGAGCGGUGAAAUGCGUUGAUAUCGGAAGGAACGCCGGUGGCGAAAGCGACGUGCUGGACCUUUUCUGACGCUGAGGCGCGAAAGCUAGGGGAGCGAACGGGAUUAGAUACCCCCGUAGUCC
rnacentral:rRNA from 1 species